rnacentral:rRNA from 1 species
UACGUAGGGGGCAAGCGUUGUCCGGAAUCAUUGGGCGUAAAGAGCGUGUAGGCGGCUCGGUAAGUCCGCUCAUGAAGCCCAGGGCUCAACCCUGGAAUAGCCUUUAAUACUGGAUAUCUUGAGUUCGGGAGAGGUGAGUGGAACUCCGAGUGUAGAGGUGAAAUUCGUAGAUAUUCGGAAGAACACCAGUGGCGAAGGCGACUCACUGGCC